rnacentral:rRNA from 1 species
GUGGGGAAUAUUGGACAAUGGGCGAAAGCCUGAUCCAGCCAUGCCGCGUGUGUGAAGAAGGUCUUCGGAUUGUAAAGCACUUUAAGUUGGGAGGAAGGGCAGUAAGUUAAUACCUUGCUGUUUUGACGUUACCGACAGAAUAAGCACCGGCUAACUUCGUGCCAGCAGCCGCGGUAAUACGAAGGGUGCAAGCUUUAAUCGGAAUUACUGGGCGUAACGCGCGCGUAGGUGGAUUUGUAAGUUGGAGGUGAAAUCCCCGGGCUCAACCUGGGAACUGCCUCCAAAACUACGGGGCUAGAGUACGGUAGAGGGUAGUGGAAUUUGCUGUGUAGCGGUGAAAUGCGUAGAUAUAGGAAGGAACACCAGUGGAGAAGGCGACUACCUGGACUGAUACUGACACUGAGGUGCGAAAGCGUGGGGAGCAAACAGGAUUAGAAACCCGGGUAGUCC